AUGAGAAUGGUGGAGGCUAUAGACGGGUGGUCUUGGACAAUGCUCAAGUACAGUGAUUCUAAACAGACGUCAUUGGUCCCGAACCAAUCUGUAAGGGACAUAUACCUCGAGAAGUGGACUUGGCUUGCUGCUUGGAAUUGCAGCCUUGUUCUCCCUGGUGAGCGUCUUCACCAGGUAUUCACGUGAAAGAAGAGGCUACAACAAUGCGUCUCAUGCGUGAGCUACCUGCACUGAUGGCAAGUGACCGAGCCUCCACUUUGUCUCCCAUCUUGCGUACGGUUUCUGGUGUGGGCCCGACAAACAUCACGCCAGCAUCUUGGCAGGCCUGGGCAAAAUCUGACCGCUCCGACAAGAAGCCAUAACCAGGGUGGAUGGCGUCAACGUCGUUUUCCUGUCAAGAACACAGACCUUACAAAAGGCUGGCUAACAAUCAUGAUCACCUAUGCAUCAUCACUAAUUAAGCAUUCAGAACGAAAGCAUUCCACAAUGACAUUUUUCUGUCUCCUUUAAUAAGCACCACUGUGGCGAGCAGGGUAGUCCAGAUAGAGAUGUUGCUUGAUGGGUAUCUGCCAUCUGCUCCCACAGACAAUAAUUAAGGGGCAUCUCAGGCACUGAGGAAGGCGUUUACUGGCAGGAGAGAUUAACACUAAAGCCACACAAGUGUCAGAAUCCUCUGAGAAACAUAUAGAAACACACACACCAACACAGUCCACAGUGCCAGAAGCCCUGGCAGCGCUCCCAGACUGACUGGGGAGUCACAAGACUUGACUGCCGGGAGACAAAAUAAUACUCUCUGACUGAAGAAUGAUCAGAAGUAUGAAAGUUUGGAGGCCAAGACAGAUUGGAGCUAAGCAUGUGGGUUUUACGAAAUUAAAAUGAGAAUCACAAAUGAAAAAAAUCUUCCAUAUUUUCACUAGAUAAAUAGAUAGAUAGAGAGAUCUCAAUAUUCACAACAUGCGGCCUAUAGUAACAACAGCAACAGACGGUGGCAUUUUUCUUGGACUGUACAGCAAAGCUUUGACAUCAGCUCGAGAUUAACAAUGGGGGGCAGGAGACUAAGAAUGUGUGACCUACCUUUGCCACUUUGAUGAUGUCAGGGAUGUCCAGGUAGGCCGCGACAGGUGGGAGACCUUUUCCAAUCAGGUAUGCCUCAUCUGCUUUUUGUCUGUGGGCAUCAAAACAAUUUCUCACAGGUGACAGAAAUAUACAGGAGUGAUCUAUCCGCCUACUUUUUAAUGGGGAGGUGCAUUGCAGCCCUUUCCUCUUAGGCAUACUAAUGCUAAAAACUGAAUAAGAAGCGUAUUGUUGUUGGGGAUGUUAAUACCUGUGCAUCUGUCCAGUGUCCUGCUCCGAGUACACAGCCACUGUCCUGAUGCCGAGCUCGGUGCAGGCCCGGAACACACGGAUUGCAAUCUCACCUGAGGGGCACACACCAGACAGAUAUGUACAUGCAUGGUGAGUAAAAACAAGUCUCACCUCUGUUGGCCACCAUCACUUUCUUAAUUGGUCGAUAGUUGCUCUGCGAUGAAGAGUGGGCAGAACGGGAAAGAACACAAGCCCUUCUGACCGCCAGCAGGCCAAGGCUGCCUUGGGCCGACACAAACCUCAACAACCUGCGAGAGAAGGACAAAUCAGACCACAUUUCAUUGAAAUGUUUGUUUUUCACAUUCAUCCUGAUUCCAAAGAGACAGUCAUUUUGAGGUUACUUCAGGUCUUAAAAACAAGAGCAUGUUUUGCACAGUAUUUACAGACAGCAAAACAACACUGUCAGUGUGAUCUUAAAACAGUAUUUCAGGAUGCUGUAACGUACAUUGGCAGUCACAGAAUACCUUCUCUUCAGAUUAACAGGUUACAAAAAUCACAAUCUGGAGCCAGUUUGUCCUGUCAGAAGUGUUUUGACUGAUGUCAUGGAUCGAGGUCUUGUUCUAAUUAAUGUUCCAGUGGCUCCAGUGAACUCACUCGAGCACGCACACAAGCUCAGCACAGAGCUCUGACCCAGAUGAAUGGAACUUGGCCAUAAUUAAUGUAAUUAAUUACAGCCAUUUAUCCUAAAAUAGCCUGUCACAAAUGAUGCAGGGAGAUUAACAAGAGCCCAUUAAAACUUGACGCCUUAAUUUUUUGUUGAAACUUUAGAGAAACCCCCAUAUUUCAACUGUCAACUCCUUAGUCUUGAAUAAUUUAUUUUUAAUGAGUCGUCCAUCAAUUUAUUGAACUGGUCAAAAUCUUUUUUUUUCUUGAAUGUGAAACUGUGACGAGGAAAACAAUAGAGCCUGGCCGCUGAUGAAAGCGAAACUCACAGCUAUGAUAAGGCCACCACGCCAAAACGUGGACGACAGCAAGCCGCGCCCAGACGAACCAUCACCUUCGUGAACGCUGUAAUGGUCGCGCCGUAAGUCAGUGGCGGUCCUCUGCUGCCAUCUGGUGGUCAUGUUCUUUCAACAGUGAUAAAAUAAGACGAGUGUGCAAUACUGUAUUAUGUCAAAUCCAAAAGUGUAUUACUUUUUUCAUUAUGUCUUAUAAAUCAUAUAAUUGAGAAAUCAUGAAAAAAUACCUUAAGCUUUUGUUUCCACUUAGUACAUUUAAAUUACCCCAAAUAUUCAUGAUGAAAGUUGAAAACAUUUGUGCUAGUAUAUUAUAGAAGACACACAGAAACCACAAUAUCAGCACUACAAAGAUUCAUUUUUGUUCUUUCCCCCUUUCAUUACAACCAUUUUUCUAAGCCCAUGGGAUUUUAAAAAUGUUCAAUGUGGUCGGAGAACUUGAAAAGCUGAAGUUUUUAAGGCAACUAAGCAUUGUACUGUAUCAAUUACUAUUGAUAAUUUAAAAUAAUUUCAAGAAUUAAACAUUUCUUAAAUCUAUAUUGCGGCGGACAAGGUUUUGUUUUUUGCAUGUGCAUAAUUGUAUUUUAUUAUUUCAUUUUUUAUUUUUGUUAUGCAUUUUAUUGUUUUAAGGCUAAUUACAAGGAUGUGCUGUGGUCAAAAUAAUUAUUCAACUUGAUUUUCCUUUUGAUGUAUAUAAAUGUCCUAGACUACUUGCCAAACAAUUUCAAAUUAAAG